GUCGACGUCCAGGUGCGAAGGCAGGACCUACUUCGACUCAUAAUCGGGCGGUCGCGGGUUCGAGUCCCGCCGCCGGUACCA
rnacentral:tRNA from 1 species